rnacentral:misc_RNA from 1 species
CUGAGUACUACACUCUCUACCCUUUGUGAACUAUUAUACCUGUUGCUUCGGCGGCGCCCGCAACGGUGCCCGCCGGUCUCAUCAGAAUCUCUGUUUUCGAACCCGACGAUACUUCUGAGUGUUCUUAGCGAACUGUCAAAACUUUUAACAACGGAUCUCUUGGCUCCAGCAUCGAUGAAGAACGCAGCGAAACGCGAUAUGUAAUGUGAAUUGCAGAAUUCAGUGAAUCAUCGAAUCUUUGAACGCACAUGGCGCCUUCCAGUAUCCUGGGAGGCAUGCCUGUCCGAGCGUCGUUUCAACCCUCGAGCCCCUGUGGCCCGGCGUUGGGGAUCUGCCACGGCAGGCCCCUAAAACCAGUGGCGGACCCGAAGGCCCUCUCCUUUGCGCAGUAGCAUCAGCCUCGCAUUGGGAUCCCUCGGCGUCCUGCCUCUAAACCCCCCACAAGUCCGCUCCGGCGGCACCAAGGUUGACCUCGGAUCAGGUAGGAAUACCCGCUGAACUUAAGCAUAUCAAUAAGCGGAGGAAUCGUAGCCUUGGUCAUUUAGAGGAAGUAAAAGUCGUAACAAGGUCUCCGUUGGUGAACCAGCGGAGGGAUCAUUACUGAGUUUUCAACUCUAAAACCAUUUGUGAACAUACCUAUCUUUACUGCUUUGGCGUGGUCCUUCGGGAUUGUGCCGGUAGUAUUUACAAACUCUUUUAAUUUCUAGAGAAUUAUUCAUUGCUGAGUUGCAUUUAACAAAUAGUUA